GCAAUUGGUCUAGUGGUAUGAUUCUCGCUGUGAGUACUUGAAUUCUUCUAUCCUUGUUAUUCGACUAACAGUAAACAGUAGGGACUACUCUAAGUUAAAAAUGCGAGAGGCCCCAGGUUCGAACCCUGGAUUGCG